rnacentral:tRNA from 1 species
UGCCGAAACCCGGGAUCGUACCAGGGACCUAUAGAUCUUCAGUCUAACGCUCUCCCAACUGAGCUAUUUCGGC